rnacentral:misc_RNA from 1 species
AAAUAAUGUAGAAUUCAUACCAACAAGGGUUAAAUGUUGCAUUUUUUAGUAAUGUUAAUAUAAAAAUUGAAAAUAUGAAUUUUGAAAUAAUAUAGAUUAAAGUGUGAAAGAGUGGCUUUCAUAUAACAAGAAAGUUAUUUCAUUUGUGAUUUAAAUAUCAGCAAUACGAGUCACUCUGCAAACUAAAAAUUACACUGCUAAUAUCAAUUCUUCCCAAAACUCACAGAUAUAAGAUAUUUCGAGUACUAGAUCACUAUAUAUAUAUUACAGCAAACUUGAGGGGAUAUUAGUAUCCCAAGAAAAUUAUCAAGAAAAGACCAUUAUAAAAUUUUUUACAUAGUAUUUAACCUUGAGGAUUUCUUCAUAUUUCAUAUAGAGACCAUUAAAAUUCAUGUAUUCAAAUUUAUUUAAAAUGCAAUUAACAUCUGAAUAUGAAAUGAGAGGAGAAUUAUUUUGCUAACCUCCUUGGGGCUCAUUUGAUACA